GCCCACAUAGCUCAGGGGUAGAGCACUUCCUUGGUAAGGAAGAGGUCACCGGUUCAAAUCCGGUUGUGGGCU
rnacentral:tRNA from 2 species